CCUACGGGUGGCAGCAGUGAGGAAUAUUGGUCAAUGGACGAGAGUCUGAACCAGCCAAGUAGCGUGAAGGAUGACUGCCCUAUGGGUUGUAAACUUCUUUUAUAUGGGAAUAAAAUGUUCCACGUGUGGGAUUUUGUAUGUACCAUAUGAAUAAGGAUCGGCUAACUCCGUGCCAGCAGCCGCGGUAAUACGGAGGAUCCGAGCGUUAUCCGGAUUUAUUGGGUUUAAAGGGAGCGUAGGUGGAUUGUUAAGUCAGUUGUGAAAGUUUGCGGCGCAACCGUAAAAUUGCAGUGGAAACUGGCAGUCUUGAGUACAGUAGAGGUGGGCGGAAUUCGUGGUGUAGCGGUGAAAUGCAUAGAGAUCACGAAGAACUCCGAUUGCGAAGGCAGUUCACUGGACUGCAACUGACACUGAGGCUCGAAAGUGUGGGUAUCAAACAGGAUUAGAUACCCUAGUAGUC
rnacentral:rRNA from 1 species